UUCUUGGUAACUUUUAAAGAUUAAACAAGAUUGUAUUUUUAUAGAGAGAGAAAGUAGAGAGAAGGCAGAGCAGCAAUUGCUCUAGAAUGUAUUGAUUGUGACCCCUUUUUCUAGGGAAGUGGGAAUAUUUAUAGUACUAGGUUUUUGUGGGAAUGACCUAAUAUUCCCCUUACAUGAUUGGCUGGGGAAUGGGAGAAGGACACGUGUCCUUUCUCCUUACAAUUCUCUGAUCCCCUGUAGCAAUAGUGGGCUAUUUGGGCCUAUUGUGCUUAGUAAUUCACUUGGGAUACAUACUAAUUAAGCCCUUUUCCAGGUAUAGGUUUUAUACGUACAUUUAUACAUACUUAAAUACAUACAUUGUAGAUACCUAGAUUAAUACUCAUGCCCCGGAGUAGACUUUGCAUGAUUUCUGCUUAGGGGGCGCAAUACGUGCCAGGUGUCACAUCUUCAUUGGUGCACGAAGGCAUGGUAAUUUUGCCCACAACAUUUGCCCCUCAAGAAGGGCAUUUCUGGAAACACUUUCCGGAGCUCUCAUAGGCGAUUUCCGGCGUGUUCCUACCACCAUCAGGCGAUUUCCGGCCACCACGAGACUCAUCCUUUUCCUCGUCAAACUCAUCCUGUUCUUCGCGAAAUUCAUCCCGUUCUUCGCGAUACUCAUCCUGUUCUUCACCAAGUACUUCGCAGAUCUUUCAAGAGGAAGGAAUGAGCAAGUUGUCGGCGGCGGAUACCGGGAAAGGCGAUAUGACCGAUUGGAUGGCGGACAUCUAUGAGGCCAAGAUGCAGAAAGCCAAGGCCGAGUUGGAGGAGAAGGUGAGUAUUCUCUUAGGUUGUUUUUUGCAAGUUAAGCUUCCUCCGUCCAUUGUCUAUAGUGGACGUCUAUUUAGUGACGAGCCGAUAUCCUGACAUGUGACCCAUGUUUGCUAAUGUUGGCCUCGUCACUUUUUAAUGACGGGCCCCUUUGUGAGUGUUUUUCCUGUGGUUGCCAAGGUGCGCCUCGUCACCUUUUAAGACGGGCCACCCCCACCCCUUUUUUACAAGUGACUCG